UAGCAAUACACUUGUAAAGUGGCGAACGGGUGAGGAAUACAUGGGUAACCUACCCUCGAGUGGGGAACAACCAGCCGAAAGGUUGGCUAAUACCGCGUACGCUUCCGGGUCUUCGGAUUCGGAAGGAAAGUCAUACCGUGGGUAUGACGCUCAAGGAUGGGCUCAUGUCCUAUCAGCUUGUUGGUGGGGUAACGGCCUACCAAGGCUCCGACGGGUAGCUGGUCUGAGAGGACGAUCAGCCACACUGGCACUGCGACACGGGCCAGACUCCUACGGGAGGCAGCAGUAAGGAAUAUUGCGCAAUGGGCGAAAGCCUGACGCAGCGACGCCGCGUGGGGGAUGAAGGUCUUCGGAUUGUAAACCCCUUUCAGGAGGGAAAAUGGAACGAGCAAUCGUUCGGAUGGUACCUCCAGAAGCAGCCACGGCUAACUUCGUGCCAGCAGCCGCGGUAAUACGAAGGUGGCAAGCGUUGUUCGGAUUUACUGGGCGUACAGGGAGCGUAGGCGGUUUGAUAAGCCCUCUGGGAAAUCUUCGGGCUUAACCCGAAAAGUUCAGAGGGGACUGCCAAGCUAGAGGACGGGAGAGGAGCGCGGAAUUCCCGGUGUAGCGGUGAAAUGCGUAGAGAUCGGGAGGAAGGCCGGUGGCGAAGGCGGCGCUCUGGAACGUAUCUGACGCUGAGGCUCGAAAGCGUGGGGAGCAAACAGGAUUAGAUACCCUGGUAGUCCACGCCCU
rnacentral:rRNA from 1 species